UAAGGAAUAUUGCUCAAUGGGAGAAAUCCUGAAGCAGCAACGCCGCGUGGAGGAUGAAGGGUCUAUGACUUGUAAACUCCUGUAAAGAAGGAAAAAAUUCCCAUUAGAUGAGAGAUGAUGGUACUUCUGGAGUAAGCCCCGGCUAACUACGUGCCAGCAGCCGCGGUAAUACGUAGGGGGCAAGCGUUGUCCGGAUUUACUGGGUGUAAAGGGUGCUCAGGCGGAUUUGUAAGUCAGAGGUGAAAUCUUACAGCUUAACUGUGAAACUGCCUUUGAUACUGCAAGCCUAGAGUAUGGAAGAGAGUGAUGGAAUAUCUGGUGUAGCAGUGAAAUGCGUAGAUAUCAGAUAGAACACCAAUGGCGAAGGCAGUCACUUGGUCCAUUACUGACACUAAAGCACGAAAGCGUGGGUAGCAAACA
rnacentral:rRNA from 1 species